UCUCCCAUCACUCCAGUGGCUCUUUCUGUGAACCCCAGUGGGUUGACCACUCCUGACAAGGAUAGAGAGGCCAGCACCUAUCUGUGUGAUCUCUGCUCUAGUUAGACACCAAGUGACUACUGGUCACCUUCCCCACAGUCCAUGCAAUCUCAACCCAGUUCACUCUACAGAGGCAAGCCCAGCAGCCUGGGCCAUGAUCUCUGGAUGUCCUGAUAAACUCAAAGCUCCCAAUUUUUUUUUUUUUUUUCUGCAGUGACGCCAUCUCAGCUCACUGCAACCUCUGUCUCCCAGGUUCAAGUGAUUCUCCUGCUUCAGCGUCCCGAGUAGCUGGGACUUGACAGAUGAGGAAACUAAGAGACCGAGAUGGAAAUAAUUUGUCCAAGAUAUCAGAGAUAAGCAGGUGGUGGAACCGGAGUGUGAAUACAGUCAGUCUCAAUCUAGGAAAUAUGCUCUUAACAAUCAGGUGACAUAUGUAUGUGGAGAGAGUCAUUCAACCCAAAGGUCCUACAAGCAAUGGUGGUAGGUGAAAGAGCAUAAAACCUGUACCCAGCUGAAGAGUGAAAAAUCAGCUCAGAAUGAAGAUAUAAAGAGCAGCCCUGCUGUUAAUCAAGCUGGAAGGACAGACACAGAUAAAGCCAGCUGCAACAUUAACAGAAAACAUUGUUUCUCCUAAAGUCACGCAGCAGCUGCAAAAUGUCAUGAAGCCUCCCUUUUUGAGUGAUGACUACUGCUGUCUUAGCAAUGACGCUUGUAGGCCCACUUUGCUCAAAUGGGUCCUAUUAUUGGGGAUAUCCAAUUGCUAAACUGCCCUAGCUUCAUGACAGCAUCCAAUCCCUAGUAAUUUCCAUAUAUACUAAUCCUGUGCCAGAAAUGGCAAUGAAUUCAGAAUGGAUCCCCACUGCCCUGAGACUCACCUCAAAAUCCUACAGCAGGACACCAAACCUUACAUGAGAUGUGUCCCUGCCUUACUCCUGCUGAGCAUCAUUCUACCGUUCCUUUGGAAUGCCAUCCCUCGCUGCAUUGAGGCAAUAUAUCUGAUUUUGUUGGAUUUCAGGUGUGUGCCUGGUGGUCUUAUCUCAGGAGCACUGGGCUGGUGGAAGAGAUGGUGAUUGUUAUCAGAUGGCAUGAUGGUGACAGUGAGGGGAGGCAGACCCAGGGCUUGAGAAGGACAGAGGACAGGUGAGCAUUUCCUCACCCAGGACAGGCCAGACGUGCUCCCUGAACUGUUGCCUGUGCUGGGUGUUUGCCAUCAGCCAUUUUUCCCUCUGAUUUUAUCACUUCCAAUAUAGGUAUGUGCAUUAAUGUAGGUAUGUGCAUUCUUAGAGAUUCAUUCCUUUGGCUUACACUAACGACUUUUCUUACACAAAAGACCUCAGUGAACCUUGGGAGAGAAGGCAGUUCUUGGGGAGGAGAAAGAUUGAGACUGGGAAGGCACAUGUAGCUGCUUUGUAUUCUACCCUCUGGUUGGCCUUAGUGCCCUCUUUUUGCUUGGUCUCUGGGCACUGAAUCCUUCUAGGAAUCUUCUUAGUUUUAGGCACUGGUUUUAAUCCUGCCUGAGGCAGUUGCAACCACCUUUUCUGAGCUAACAACAAUCUCCACCCCCUUACCUAGGAAGCACCUGCAACUUUAGUCAGAUGGAACUUCCGGGUGUCUCACCUGGGAGAGAGAGCUAUGUAGCCCUUAGGAGGAGUUCAGUGUUGUUAACCUAGUGCAGCAGAAUUGUGAGCGGGGCUGAGCCUCUGCCUCAGCCUCAACUCCAUUGGGGCUGCGGACAGGAGGGAAAAUUGGGGGUGGGGAACUCAGCCUUGCUUGUUGGAGCACUAUUUUCUAGUUAAAGAGUUCUCAGGGCUUUGAUGGCCACAGAUGAGUCACUAUGGAUAUAAGGUCUACAUAACAGGAGUGAUAAUUUCCCUAUCUCAUAGUCGAGGAAACCAAAGCCCAGGGAAGUUAUGGGAUUUGCUCACAUUGGUGACAAAGUGAAAGUCCAAACCAAAGUAUCUUGACCCUAGCAACGAGUAACUCCAAUUUCUCACACCAGAAGAGGAGAGUGUUGAAUAGUGAGUGUUGGGAAUCCAUCUGAUCCUAGUAUGUUUGAACUGUGAAUAUGGCCAAAGUUUAGACCAUUGGGUCUUAGUGGGUGGAACUAGAGGAACUGGAAACUGGUUCUUGUUUCUCCAUCUGUCACACAGAACCUACCUAUUAAUCCCAUCCCCAGAAGCCACCCAGCCCCAAAGAAGCAAAUGGAGCAAUGCCUGGGCUCAGGUUAUGUAAGCAGAGGCUGGGCUGCCACCAGCCCUUUGGGCAGGAAGGGGUGGAGGAGGGCCCUGCCUCUGCCCUUCAAAGGGUGAGUGUGAGACAAGAAUGUGGAGAGGCCACUCUCAGCCAGGCCAGGUGGGUCUUGGCCUUGGAGCCAGCUCUGAACUGACAGGUUCAAACCAAUCUGUGGCUUAGCCUGCACUUCAG
rnacentral:lncRNA from 10 species